CCUACGGGCGGCAGCAGUGAGGAAUAUUGGUCAAUGGGCGGGAGCCUGAACCAGCCAAGUCGCGUGAGGGAAGACGGUCCUAUGGAUUGUAAACCUCUUUAGGCGGGGAGCAAUGCCGGGCACGCGUGCCCGGAGGGAGAGUACCCGCAGAAUAAGCAUCGGCUAACUCCGUCCCAGCAGCCGCGGUAAUUCGGAGGAUGCGAGCGUUAUCCGGAUUUAUUGGGUUAAAGGGGUGCGUAGGCGGAUCGUUAAGUCAGUGGUAAAAUUGAGGGGCUCAACCCCUUCCCGCCAUUGAAACUGGCGCUCUUGAGUGGAAGAGAAGUAUGCGGAAUGCGUGGUGUAGCGGUGAAAUGCAUAGAUAUCACGCAGAACCCCGAUGGCGAAGGCAGCAUGCCGGCUUCCGACUGACGCUGAAGCACGAAAGCGUGGGGAUCGAACAGGAUUAGAUACCCCUGUAGUC
rnacentral:rRNA from 1 species